rnacentral:circRNA from 1 species
UUCUAAUACCCGAUUUACAAUUACAUUGAACUACAAGGAUCCCCUCACUGGAGAUGAAGAGACCUUGGCUUCAUAUGGGAUUGUUUCUGGGGACUUGAUAUGUUUGAUUCUUCAAGAUGACAUUCCAGCGCCUAAUAUACCUUCAUCCACAGAUUCAGAGCAUUCUUCACUCCAGAAUAAUGAGCAACCCUCUUUGGCCACCAGCUCCAAUCAGACUAGCAUGCAGGAUGAACAACCAAGUGAUUCAUUCCAAGGACAGGCAGCCCAGUCUGGUGUUUGGAAUGACGACAGUAUG